rnacentral:rRNA from 1 species
GACGAACGCUGGCGGCGUGCUUAACACAUGCAAGUCGAGCGGAGCGGCGAACGGGUGAGUCACGCGUGAGUAACUGCCCCCCUCUCUGGGAUGACAGUUGGAAACGGCUGCUAAUACCUGAUAGUGGGGGAUGCCUCGCGUCCUAUCAGCUUGUUGGUGGGGUAGUGGCCUACCAAGGCGACGACGGGUAGCCGGCCUGGGAGGGCGACCGGCCACAUUGCUCUAAGGUACGGCGCAGACUCCUACGGGGGGCAGCGGUGGGGAAUAUUGCGCAGUCGGGGAAACCCUGUUGCAGCAACGCCGCGUGCGGGAAGACGGCCUUCGGGUUGGAAACCGCUUUCAGCCAUGACGCGGUAGUGGCAGAAGAAGCACCGGCUAACUACGUGCCAGCAGCCGCGGUAAUUC